rnacentral:rRNA from 1 species
UGGGGAAUAUUGCACAAUGGGGGAAACCCUGAUGCAGCGACGCCGCGUGAGCGAAGAAGGCUUUCGAGUCGUAAAGCUCUGUCCUAUGAGAAGAUAAUGACGGUAUCAUAGGAGGAAGCCCUGGCUAAAUACGUGCCAGCAGCCGCGGUAAUACGUAUGGGGCGAGCGUUGUCCGGAAUUAUUGGGCGUAAAGGGUACGUAGGCGGUUUUUUAAGUCGGUGGUUAAAGGCUACGGCUCAACCGUAGUUAGCCUCCGAAACUGGAAGACUUGAGUGCAGGAGAGGAAAGUGGAAUUCCCAGUGUAGCGGUGAAAUGCGUAGAUAUUGGGAGGAACACCAGUAGCGAAGGCGGCUUUCUGGACUGCAACUGACACUGAGGCACGAAAGCGUGGGUAGCAAACAGG